rnacentral:rRNA from 1 species
CGCCCUUAGAGUUUGAUCAUGGCUCAGAUUGAACGCUGGCGGCAGGCCUAACACAUGCAAGUCGAGCGGUAGGAGAGCUUGCUCUCCACGAGCGGCGGACGGGUGAGUAAUGUCUGGGAAACUGCCUGAUGGAGGGGGAUAACUACUGGAAACGGUAGCUAAUACCGCAUAACGUCGCAAGACCAAAGCGGUUCGUCGCGCCAUCAGAUGUGCCCAGAUGGGAUUAGCUAGUAGGUGGGGUAAUGGCUCACCUAGGCGACGAUCCCUAGCUGGUCUGAGAGGAUGACCAGCCACACUGGAACUGAGACACGGUCCAGACUCCUACGGGAGGCAGCAGUGGGGAAUAUUGCACAAUGGGCGCAAGCCUGAUGCAGCCAUGCCGC